rnacentral:rRNA from 1 species
UACGAAGGGGGCUAGCGUUGUUCGGAAUUACUGGGCGUAAAGCGCACGUAGGCGGACUGUCAAGUCAGAGGUGAAAUCCCGGGGCUCAACCUCGGAACUGCCUUUGAUACUGUUAGUCUAGAGUCCGGAAGAGGUGGGUGGAAUUCCUAGUGUAGAGGUGAAAUUCGCAGAUAUUAGGAAGAACACCGGUGGCGAAGGCGGCCCACUGGUCCGGAACUGACGCUGAGGUGCGAAAGCGUGGGGAGCAAACAGG